AAGUCGUAACAAGGUUUCCGUAGGUGAACCUGCGGAAGGAUCAUUCAAAUGAGAAGUAAUUAUUUUCCAAUAUUAUAAUUUGUGGGGGAAUUGUGUGGGAGCUUUGUUGUUCCCGCAUGUUUCCCCGCAUAAAAACUACAUCAAAACACCUCAAGAAACCACAAUCUUUUUAAUCAAAUACAACUUUUAACAAUGGAUCUCUGGGCUCUC
rnacentral:misc_RNA from 1 species